rnacentral:rRNA from 1 species
UACGUAGGGGGCAAGCGUUAUCCGGAUUUACUGGGUGUAAAGGGAGCGUAGGCGGCAGUGCAAGUCAGAAGUGAAAGCCCAAGGCUCAACCAUGGGACUGCUUUUGAAACUGUACAGCUAGAUUGCAGGAGAGGUAAGUGGAAUUCUUAGUGUAGCGGUGAAAUGCGUAGAUAUUAGGAGGAACACCAGUGGCGAAGGCGGCUUACUGGACUGUAAAUGACGCUGAGGCUCGAAAGCGUGGGGAGCAAACAGG